AAAAGUGCUUUUUCUGUCCACUAGUCUAAAACAACAUGUGAAAGGUAAAGUAGGCCAAAAUCUCAAAAUUGACCAGUGCAUGAAAAAAAAUAAAAAUAAAAUAAACAAUGCCUACUGUGUUUUGUCAUGAACAUUAAGGCCAUUUGUUUGACAUUUGAGUGGACAUUUGUAUAGUAAAUGUUGAACCCAGAACAUUCCUUUAAUGUUCUAUUCACACACACACACACACAGAGUUUGUUUGGCAGGAUUCAUGUGUGUGUGUGAGUCCGGGAACGGAUCCAUGUAUAUAACUCAUCCUACAGCAGCAGGAACCAUUGUGCUCGACUGCGGGUGCCGAGGGAACUCUGAGUCUGUGACACCUGUUACCAACAGCCGGGCCGGCCGCGCCAACGCGGUGGCCAGAGUUUGCGCCGGCUGGAGAGAACAGCAGAAACAAGCUGUGAAUGAGUCUGGAGAGAGCGGCCGAUGCUGAGCCGCCAUGCUUCGCUCCACGGGCCGCCGCUUUCCAGGUUAUGAGCAUACUUGUGUGCUGUGAGACGGAGCUACUGAGUUCUUUAAUCCAGGGAAUCUCAACCAGUGGGUCUGAUGGGUCACAGACGGCAGAUCCUGUGCAGAUCGUCUCUCGGAGUCUCUCUACAGCCCAAACCGCCCAAAACACUCCCCGUGUCGGUCCAAACAUCAUUUUUCAUCUGAGUCGUUUGACGCGACGGAGCGCUGCUGUUUGUGUGUACAGUGAUGGAGGGCGGCGAGCGGGCGGCACUGACUCCAGACCAGUGACACUGUCCCACGCUCACAGAGUCUAUUGAUCUGCUCUGGAUGGACGGCUGGAGACAAACACGCGGCUUACAGCCGGUUUAGAGCUGGUUCUACGCCGCUAAACUGAACAAAUCUAGAAUGAACUCAAGCACAGCUCUAAACUUCACAACUGACUGAAUCUAAUUCCCUUUAUAUCUUCCUUUCGAUGCUUUAGUGUUGUAUCUGAAGUCUGUUUAAAAGCUUACGAAGCCCUGUACACCCUUAUGAGACAGAGAUUUACACCGACAUGUCUUAAAGUCGACAUUUCCUUCCUCCUCUUGUGUUCCUGUGUGUUUAUGGCCAGAAUGCAUGUGUGUUAGAAACAAAAUUUAGUUUGUUUUACUCAAAUUUAGUUAGUAUUUAGUUUAUUUAAUGAAUAGUAUUCAUUAUUUUAAAUUAGCUUUUCUUUCUGUAUUUUCAGUUUUAGAAAAUGUAUGUCUUUAUUUCAUUUUUGCUUGCUUUAUGUAUGUACUUUCCCCCUCGCCCCAGUACUUUAUUUCAAGUUUGUUUUCCAUCUAAUGUUUUAUUAUAGCUUUAUUUCAAUUAACAAAAAGGUUUCUAGUAGUUUUAGUUAACAAUAAAAACACUGCUGUCUUUAUUUCAAAUUAUAAUAAUUAUUCAGAAAAUCUUGACUGCUUUGAACAAAUUGAAUCAGUGAGUUAUCUGAUUCAUGAACACAUCAUUCAGACUGCUUUUGUGACUAACUGAUUCACUGAAAAGAUCCAGCUCAAAAGAAUGAUUCAUUGUCUUUGAUUCAGUGAUUCAAGUCUCUUUACUGUCAUUGGUGGUCCGCUGAAUGCAUCCUUGCUUAAUUUCAUUUAAAAGAAAAGACCACAAACUUUUGAACAGUUGUGUAUUUUUAUCACAGAAUAUAUUAAUCUUUGUUAAUGUUAAUCAAUAAAAUAAAAUUUAAUAAAUGCUGUAUUGUUAGUAUUGUUAGUUCAUGUUCAGUAAUAUAAUGAAUUAGAUCUUAUUGUGACAUUGCCAUUUCUCUCAUGAACUCUCAUCAAU
rnacentral:lncRNA from 1 species